GGGACCUUGCGCUUGCGAGGCAGGCAGCCGAACCACUGAGCUAAAUCCCCGGCCCCUCCCCAUAAAGUUUUAAUUCCAACUAUAUACUAUAAAUCGAUUUCUCUCUCUCUGUCUCUCCGUAUAGAUACAUAGCAUAUAAAAAGGAAGGUUUUUUUCACCUUCUUGGAACAUCACCCCCUUGAGAAUACAUGUUCUAUAUAGUUGUAGUUUGGGGGUUUUUUGUUUUUAAAGAUUAUAUCACAUAUAACAAGAAGUGGAAAAUAGGUGUUUUGCAGUCAGUCAGACCUUGGUUUGAAGGCUUUUAUUUAGCAAAUAUUCGACCUGAGUGAUCAAGGCUAUUUCUUCUAUAUCCUUUAUCAUAUAUGUACUUACCCUUUAUAUAUCUCCUUGGAUGUGGUGUAUAUUACAGAGAGCCUAAGUACACCUGUACUUGCAAGAGCCUUGUAUCUGAAGUAUUUCUCUGAAGUGAAUAGGGGGCUAGUGCAAGGGCAGCACUGUCUUAUCCCGUGUCCCACCCGUGUCAUGUCUGUAGCUCGCUGCAACGCAGCCACAUUAUCCACCUGUGAGUCAGGGCUAAGAAGUCAUAUAAUCACUCAAGUUUUCUCAGACGGGCUUAGUCUUUUGAAUUCCCUUUCCUUCAAAAACCUGAAAAGAGGGGGACAGAGUCCAGAGAUCGUGACGGAACCCUCGAAGCGUGCUGUGGCUAUGGCUGUGGCUGUGGGAAAGUAAGAUUGGCUCUGCGUUAUAAAUCUGAAAAUUUAAGGUCUGCUAGAGCACACUCAUCUCCUGUCCACAGGUCUCUGUCUGACCUGCCCUCAUCUGUCCACAGGCCCUUUGUCCUGUGACCGUAAAUAGUAUGAUUCUGAGCAAGGACCAAACUGUCCUCAAGAACAAACCUCUCAGGUUUUCCCUAACUCGGAAUCUAGGAAUAGACUUAUUUUUGUCAUCAAGUUUUCUGUUUUCAUUUAAAUUCCAAAUGAGAAAUUAAAAUGGUGAAUUUAGUAGGAACUGAAAAAAGGAAAACUCAAAGUGGGAGUUGCAAUUUACUUUAUAGAUAGUCUUUCUGAGCUAAAGCUACAGCCCUAGGAGAUCAGUUAAGGACACUGACUAGGGAGAAUACUGUAAAGUAUGCCUGCUGUGGAAAUAGCUAGUUUUUUUUAAAAAAGUUCACAUCCAUAUAGUAGUGCAGGUGUGCAGCAUUUGUAUUUUGCUGAUUUGGAACCAAAUACACUCACUCGUCCCAUUAGCUUCAGUUGCAUUUUUAGUGUCCUCGGUAAUUUUCUUGAUGCGUAGACCGAAGGGUAGAGUCCAGGGACAUUGGAGGGUGAGGCAAGAGAGAAACAGAGUCAGGAUGCUGAGAGGAAAGUACGAAUGAGUGGUUUGGGAAGAAAGGUUGUAAAAAGCAAGCUUAUAAAAGUGGUUUGCUGUUGGCCAGUUUAUCUAUUUGCUGCUGUUAAGCUCAGAAUAGCACUUUUUGCUCCCAGAAGUAGGUAGAGCGUCCCUAAAUGAAGUUGCAUCCACAGUGGGCUCAGAGCUGAAGAGCAUGCUGCAUAGGCAAAGUGAAUAUAAUUUCCCUCCAGUCUUAGGGGCAGCAUCUUUCCUGGGAGAACCAAGGCUGUCUCCGCUCUGAACUGAGCAUUUGCCCCCCUUGGCCACAUGUGUUAACCUUCAUCUUCCUGAGAUUAUUCCCCUCAGAAUAAGCAUGAGCUCAGAUAUACCUUCCAGCCCUACUGUUACAUAAUUCAGCCAUCCUAUUUAACAUUUAAAAUUGGGCAUGACUGUGGGCAUGAAUAUUUUAGAGUCCACUCAAGCCUGUCAAAAAUAUAUAUGCAAGCCCAGUGAUGCUUUCAACAUUUUAUUUUUUUCUUUCAAAGAAAACAGGACUAAUAAUACACAGGUGUUAUUGUCAAACUUGUGAUAUGAGGAAGCCGUAAACAGAAUGCGUUCCUGUCUCCUGAUUUUUCUUUACAUGCUUUAUAAUUACCACGUAUGUCAUUGUGAAACUACAAUAUAAAUGUAAUUGCUCAUGUUUCUAUUAACCGUGCUGCCAAAUUUUGUCCCCCUCAAGGAUUUGUUGCUGGUACUGUAAUAAUUGGUAGUCUAUUUGUAGCCAAGGUUUUCUGGGACCGUGGAAAAUCAGGGUGAGCAGAAAUUCUGAUGAUUUUGAAAACUUUAUUGUUAGCCUUUUCCUCAGUGAAACUUGAUACUCUAUCAGUGGGUAAGUCUCCAGCUUAGCUGCAUCUUUGCACUUGCCGACUCUUCUGUCUGGAAUCAAAAUUACUGCUUUGGAAGAACGGACUCUGGCAGUGGCAGUGCUGUUUCUUCUCCUCCUCCCCUCCCCCUUUCCCUCCCUCUUCCUCUUCUUCCAUCACUACUACUACUUCCUCCUCCUCCUUUUCUUCUUCUCACCUCACUUCUUCCUCUUCUGUUUCUUCCUCCUCCUUUUUCUUCUCAGUAUAAUCAAAGAUAAUAACCACCUUUCCAAAGAAAGUGAUUUAAAAGUCCACUUUCUUAAUUCUCUUUUCUCUACUUAUGAUAAUGCCUGUGCAUUAUACAGAAACAAAGAAAUCUAGGAAAAGACAAACCUCUAACCUAUUGUUACACUGCCUAUGGUUAAGCAUUUUUCUGCAUUGUAUUUAUUAAUAGAUAGCAGUCUAGGCAGAAACAGUCUGGGGAGUAAGAGGGUAGCUCCAGAGUCUGUGGCUUGGUUUGAUUCCUGCUCUGCUGUUUGCGAGCAGCUUAGCCACUCUGAGCCUCAGUGUUUUCAUUUGUAAAAUGGAACAAAUAUGUCAACCUCACGAGGUUACAGGAAGCAUGAAAUAAGUUGUCACACGUUAAGAGGUUAAAGUGUUGCUUAGCACGCAGGACAUACUCAGAUGUUAAGACAGCAACAAGAAAUAAAAGCUCAUCUGGAAUAUCGGUCUCCAUGGAGUCCACAUAUUAAAUAUAAAUACGGUUGGCUCUGUAUGCUGCCAACAAACUGGAUGAUUUAAAUGGGGCUGGUUUUGUAGAUUUGGCUGUUCAGAAAUCUAGUUGUAGAAUGCACAUGAGCCUGAGCUAUCCCUUUGCUGCUCUAAUGCCUGUUCAUUUUUUUCAUUAAUUAAUAACUUCAUUUUAAUAUUACUACUAAAUUGCCUAUUUUUGUUGGCUUGUGCAGGUUAUCUCCUUUUUACCCUCUAAUAACACUUUCCAUUCUCCUUAAAUUAAUAGUAAUAUUUAAGCCUAUUAUAAGUGUAUAGAGAUUUUUUUUUUUGUACCAGGGAUUGAACUCAGGACUUGACGCUUGCGAGGCAGGUGCGGUGCCACUGAGCUAAAUCCCCAGCUUGUACAGAGAUUCUUUAAAUUCCUAAAUGAUUCAAUCUUGAUUUAAACAAAUUGGACCUUUAUGUCCUGGGGUGGGCGUUGGGGAGAGUUAAUAAUUUUUCUGGGUAUUUGUUUAAUAACAAUAAAAUGUUCUAGAUGCAACAGCAAAUGCACUGAAAUGCAACUCUUCUAGACUUUUCAAGGAAUGUAGUUUGAGCCUAGCAAAAGCUAACUGAAUUCUUAGUCUUAGGAAGUGAGUAAAGUUGGAAUAGAUGCCUCAGCAAAACUACUCUGGAAAAAGAAUUUAACCACCCAUCUUUUGUAGUUUCUUGUCCCAGAUCUCUAUUUUUAGUGUUACAUGUUUAUUGUAUUUUAAGUUACUAAUUUAUAGAGCAUUAUCAAUUUACCAGUUUAUCUCCGUGGGUCAGGAGGAAGCAGCACAUGAUGAAUUUGCCAGUAUCUGUUGGCUUUCGUCACUUUCUGCAUAUCCUUUGGUGAAGUAUUUUGCCAUGAUAUUUUUAAUAGGAUGAAAAGUGCUGGGACAAAGAAGCCAUUAUAUGACACAAGAGAACAACAAAGCACCCAUUGUUAAUACCUCAAAUGAGGCUGAUGCUACCUCAGAAAUAAGACCUCUUUCCGAUAAAUUACAAAAGCAAGAGCACGCCCAUCAUCUCCUGUUGUCUGCACUCCAUUCGUCAUGGCAUGAAUCCGUGUAACAGCA
ensembl:lncRNA